rnacentral:lncRNA from 10 species
CCUGGGUUUAAGCAAUUCUCCUGCCUCAGUCUCUUGAGUAGCUGGGACUACAGGAACGUACCACCAUGCCCGGCUAAUUUUUGUAUUUUUUCUAGAGACAGGGUUUUGCCAUGUUGGCCAGGCUGGUCUUCAGCUCCUGAUCUCAGGUGAUCCACCCGCUUCAGCCUCCCAAAUUGCUGGGAUUACAGGCUUGUUUGGACUGAGUUCCAGAUCUGGGCUGUCAUGGAACAUAACAGGGACCCUUCAUGGGGACAGCAAGAAGGUUCACCGACCCAAUUCAGAGGAAGGAAGAGCCUGGCCUUCAAAAUUACUAUGACCAUCAGAAUGCCCUAGGAGAUCAAAGAAAUAACGGAGUGGGUGUGAGACCUUUUACAAAUGUGUGCACUCAAGCAGUGCAAAGGCAAACCUCCUGGACCUGUCUACAAGCAACAUUGUAACAUAUUUCUG